GGGUGUGGCUCAGAGGUAGAGCGCUCGCCUAGCUUGCGUGAGGUACGGUUCGAUCCUCAGCACCACA
rnacentral:tRNA from 1 species